GGCAUCGUGGUAGAGCGGCUAGGCACCGGUCUGCAAAACCGUAUACUCCGGUUCAGAAUCCGGACGAUGCCU
rnacentral:tRNA from 1 species